rnacentral:rRNA from 1 species
AGUCAAUAGAUACCCAGGUAGUCCAUGCCGUAAACGAUGAUUGCUAGGUGUGGGGGGUCUGACCCCUUCCGUGCCGGAGUUAAACACAAUAAGCAAUCCACCUGGGGAGUACGGCCGCAAGGUUGAAACUCAAAGGAAUUGACGGGGGCCCGCACAAGCAGUGGAGUAUGUGGUUUAAAUUCGAAGCAACGCGAAGAACCUUACCAGGUCUUGACAUCCACCGAAUCCUGUAGAGAUACGGGAGUGCCCUUCGGGGAACGGUGAGACAGGUGGUGCAUGGUUGUCGUCAGCUCGUGUCGUGAGAUGUUGGGUUAAGUCCCGCAACGAGCGCAACCCUUGUGAAUAGUUGCUACGAAAGAGCACUCUAUUCAGACCGCCGUUGACAAAACCGGAGGAAGGUGGGGAUGACGUCAAAUCAUCAUG